rnacentral:rRNA from 1 species
UACGUAGGGGGCAAGCGUUGUCCGGAUUUAUUGGGCGUAAAGAGCGUGUAGGCGGUCAGGUAGGUCCGUUGUGAAAACUCGAGGCUCAACCUCGAGACGCCGAUGGAAACCAUCUGACUAGAGUCCGAAAGAGGAGAGUGGAAUUCCUGGUGUAGCGGUGGAAAUGACGCAGAUAUCAGGAAGAACACCCGUGGCUAAGGCGGCUCUCUAGUACGGUACUGACGCUGAGACGCGAAAGCGUGGGAGCGAACAGG